GACGAACGCUGGCGGCGUGCUUAACACAUGCAAGUCGAACGGAAAGGCCCUGCUUUUGUGCGGUGCUCGAGUGGCGAACGGGUGAGUAACACGUGAGUAACCUGCCCUUGACUUUGGGAUAACUUCAGGAAACUGGGGCUAAUACCGGAUAGGAGCUCCUGCUGCAUGGUGGGGGUUGGAAAGUUUCGGCGGUUGCGGAUGGACUCGCGGCUUAUCAGCUUGUUGGUGGGGGAGUGGCUUACCAAGGCUUUGACGGGUAGCCGGCCUGAGAGGGUGACCGGCCACAUUGGGACUGCGAUACGGCCCAGACUCCUACGGGAGGCAGCAGUGGGGAGUAUUGCACAAUGGGCGCAAGCCUGAUGCAGCAACGCCGCGUGCGGGAUGACGGCCUUCGGGUUGUAAACCGCUUUCGCCUGUGACGAAGCGUGAGUGACGGUAAUGGGUAAAGAAGCACCGGCUAACUACGUG
rnacentral:rRNA from 1 species